rnacentral:rRNA from 1 species
AGUGAACGCUGGCGGUAGGCCUAACACAUGCAAGUCGAACGGCAGCACAGUAAGAGCUUGCUCUUACGGGUGGCGAGUGGCGGACGGGUGAGGAAUACAUCGGAAUCUACUUUUUCGUGGGGGAUAACGUAGGGAAACUUACGCUAAUACCGCAUACGACCUACGGGUGAAAGCAGGGGAUCUUCGGACCUUGCGCGAUUGAAUGAGCCGAUGUCGGAUUAGCUAGUUGGCGGGGUAAAGGCCCACCAAGGCGACGAUCCGUAGCUAGUCUGAGAGGAUGAUCAGCCACACUGGAACUGAGACACGGUCCAGACUCCUACUGGAGGCAGCAGUUGGGAAUGUUGGACAAUGGGCGCGAGCCUGAUCCAACCAUACCGCGUGGGUGAAGUAGGCCUUCGGGUUGUAAAGCCCUUUUGUUGGGGAAGAAAAGCAGCAGGUUAAUACCCCGCUGUUCUGACGGUACCCAAAGAAUAAGCACCGGCUAACUUCGUG